UACGUAGGGCGCGAGCGUUGUCCGGAUUUAUUGGGCGUAAAGAGCUCGUAGGCGGCUUGUCGCGUCGUCCGUGAAAACCUGGGGCUCAACUCCAGGCUUGCGGUCGAUACGGGCAGACUAGAGUUCGGUAGGGGAGUCUGGAAUUCCUGGUGUAGCGGUGAAAUGCGCAGAUAUCAGGAGGAACACCGGUGGCGAAGGCGGGACUCUGGGCCGAUACUGACGCUGAGGAGCGAAAGCGUGGGGAGCGAACAGG
rnacentral:rRNA from 1 species